GUUACUUGUAACGCCGUUAUUCCCAUCACUGGUGAUGUGACAGAGAAACCAUCACUGGAUUGCUUCUGAAGGAGGAGCUACAAGCUGCUGGAUCAGGGGGCGGAGUCAGUUUGGUUUAGUUUCUGUUAAAUAAAUACUUUUUCCACCUCCGCUACUAUCUGGAGUACCGCAUCACCUGGAUUACACCCCUACCCCAUCUCAUAAGAAGAAGCGCUUUAAACGUCGGGGAAAACGCAGCGGGCUGCUGGUGAAACUGAAAUCAUAUUUGGCUCUUUCAUCUGGCAGAGACAGAACAGUUUCCCAAUGCACUCUGACUGAAUUCAGACCUUUGCACUGGUGUUUUGUCUCCUGUCGCUUCCUGGAACCUAUUGGCUCCUGGCUGGUACCUGUUGUCGGCUUGGCUGAAGACAUCCAGCGUUCCCGCCUUCUCUUACCUCAUCUUCGCUGCGGUGGAGCGAAACUGCGGAAUCUCCGGCAACUGAAACAGGUUCCCUGGAUGGCUGUCACCGGUCUGACGGACCCUACCAGAAGCCUGGCUAAGUGACGGUGAGUUAAGCUCUUUCUCAGAACUAUUACCGCCAAACUGUUCGGAUUUUAACUCACCGAGGAUGACGGGCCGAGGUGGAGGAGUGGCCACAGUUUAUAAAUCUACUUUUCACUGUCGCCAGCUGUCACCUGUCACUUUCUCCAGUUUUGAACUGAAUAUGUUUGAGCUUGGUAGCAGUCAUCCUGUUCUUUGUGCGGUGAUCUACCGUCCACCAAAACAUAACAGGAACUUUGUUAAUGACUUCUCUGAGUUCUUGGCUGAAAUAAUGCCAAAGCAUGACAAGGUCUUAAUCCUGGUGAUGUGAAUAUUCAUGUGUGUUGUCCUACUAAACCAUAGGCAAAGGACUUUUUAAGCCUACUUGAUGCUUUUAAUGUUUUGCAGUCUGUCACUGGUCCCACUCAUAAAUAUGGACACACUCUGGAUCUGGUUUUGUCUCAUGGUUUACCUGUUUAUAAUCUUCAAAUUUAUGAUGUCGUCUUUUCUGAUCAUAUGCCUGUAUUGUUUGAAACUUCUCUUCCCUGUAACAUCACUACCUGUGGCCCUCCUACUGCUUCUCGCAUGUUUAAACCAUCAAGUGCCGUCCAGUUUUCUACCACCUUUAAUGUUGACUCAGAGCUCUCAGUCUGUGCCGACACUGAGGUGCUGACUGCAAAAUUUUUCUCUACUUGUCAAAACAUUCUGGAUACUGUUGCUCCUCUGAAGGUCAGGCGGCCUAAAUCGAAGUCUGAGCCGUGGCUGAACGACAUCACUCGGGCUGCUCGAAGAGAGUGAAGAAAAGCAGAACGCAAAUGGGAAAAA